ensembl:misc_RNA Metazoa_SRP Metazoan signal recognition particle RNA
GCUGGGCAUGGUGGUGAGUGCCUGUAAUCCCAGCUACUUGGGAGGCUGGGGUAGGAGAAUCACUUGAACCCAGGAGGUGGAGGUUGCAGUGAGCCGAGAUCUCACCACUGCACUCCAGCCUGGGUGACAGAGUGAGACUCUGUCUCAA